UACGUAGGGUGCGAGCGUUAAUCGGAAUUACUGGGCGUAAAGCGUGCGCAGGCGGCUUUGCAAGACAGAUGUGAAAAUCCCCGGGCUCAACCUGGGAACUGCAUUUGUGACUGCAAGGCUAGAGUACGGCAGAGGGGGAUGGAAUUCCGCGUGUAGCAGUGAAAUGCGUAGAUAUGCGGAGGAACACCAAUGGCGAAGGCAAUCCCCUGGGCCUGUACUGACGCUCAUGCACGAAAGCGUGGGGAGCAAACAGG
rnacentral:rRNA from 1 species